rnacentral:lncRNA from 1 species
GGAUGAUGACUGUGCUCCAGAUGUCUGUCGUCUUUGGGCUUCCUGCUCUCCCUCAUUCCCAUUUUCCUUAAAUUGCAUAACGGCUUAAGAAACAUUGAGAAUUAAACUAAGAUGUUUGAGUUUCAUCUUGAUGAGUUACACAAGUGACCGCAAAAUUUUAUUUUUUUUCAUCAUUUUUUUGGAUGUAUGACAGGAAGGACUUGGAGUUUUGCAACUUGAGUAAAGCUUAUGGAAAAAAUUGUAGGUGGAGCACAUUAAAUAUGCUUAAAUGUGCAAAGGUGGAGCUUUGACUUUUAGAGCUCUAAGAACUAUUAUCCCCCAUUCAUGUGUAGUUAUUAAAACAUGGGGAAUAAUGGAAAAGUGAGGCUGACAGUGAUGCUGUGCUCUGUGGUUGUAUUGUCCACCAAUGCUGCAGUGCGUGCAGAAUUUGAGUUAAAGUGCCCAGAUGUAAGAGUGGAAACGGAGCCAAAUAAGACGGUGAUUCUCCCGUGUUUCACUGAGCCACAAACAGAUGUCAGCCUGAGACCAGUGGAGUGGGUGGUAAAUGAUACAGAUGGGGUUCAUUUGUACCGUAAGAAAGCAGAUGAUCCCGAAGAGCAGAUUGAGGACUACAAAGGAAGAACGUCUCUUUCCCAUAACAAUCUUUCCUUAGGAGAUUGUUCACUGAGUCUCAGAGUAAAGAUGUCUGAUGCUGGGACAUACAGGUGCUCUGUUAUAACAGAGACGUUACCACCACCCAGUUGUUCAUUAAACCUCAUUGUUUUAACAGUCAGUGACUCAAGUCCUGUCCUCCCUGAUAAAGCAACUUCUAGCAGCAGUACCAAUUGGAAUAUAGGUGUUGUUAGUCUUGUUGGUCUUGGCUUUAUUCUACUGUAGCUCAGCUGGAGAAACGUGCCACAAAUAUCCAAGUGAGGAACAGAGACUGAGAUAACACCGAGCAGUGAUCUGAGCAUUCAAGCUGAUGCCAACAUGCGGCUGUUCUUUAUAUUUCCUGCUAAAGUGUUAAUAUGAGAUAUACAUUUGUAUUGAAUUUAAAUGUUUUUUGUAAGUUUACUUUAUUAGUAACUAUAAUUAAGAUGUGAACAGUUUUUUUAAUAUAGUUUUUUUCUAUGGUUUUGUAGAACUUCUGUAUAUAGACAAAUGUUGCUAUACAACCAACUACUAAUAUUAUAUAUUUGAUGAAUAAAAUCUUAAAAUUCACUGGAUAAUUGGUUUUCUUCUUCUCUUUUUAAUAUAAAUUGUGUGUUUAUCAGCCAUGUUAAAAAUUUACUGGUUGCUCAUGGUAAAAUCAGUCCAUCAUUGGACGAGUCAUAUUGUUAUAGUUCCUCCCUUUGGUCCCUAUUCUGUUGGUUUUGUUUUUGUUUGUUACCUGCUCUCACCCUGUUCUCCUGCCACUUCCUGUUUGCCUGUAUACAGACUUUCCCUUCCUCCACUCACCAGGCUCAUUACUGACUGAUUCAUUUCACCUGUUUGUCUCCUCAGUCUUUUUGUUUGUUGCUGCUUUGGGAUUCAUUUUGGACUCUGCAUUUUGUUAGUUUGUUGGCCUUGUUUGUUUAGUUUGUAAGUAGGUUGCCCGCCUUGGCAGUGACUUUUUGUUGUUACUUUGUAUGUCUAGUGUGUACGUUCGUUUUUUUUUGUCUGCUUGAGUGCAUUCAUUUUUGAUUGUUACUUUGUUUCAUUAGUGAGUUUGUUUGUGUUUGGUUUUGCAUUCAGUGCUUUGGUUUUUGUUGCUACUUUGUAUGUUAGUAAUUUUGCCUGCCUUUGAGCAGCUUUUUUUUGUUUGGUAGUUUGUAUUUAGUUUUGUAUGUUGGUUUGUCUUUUUGUCUGCAUAGAGCCUUGAUAUCUGAUACUUUGUAUGUCUGCUUAUUAGUUAGUUUGUCCCUGCGUCAGUGCAGUGGGUAUUUUCGUUGUUACUUUGCUUCAUUAUUAUCCAUGCUCGUUUAGUUUCACUCUGUCUUGUUUAGUUUUCCCUGUGUCCCCUUUAUUUGGACGGGAUUUUUUAGUUAAUAAACCCUUUGUUUUGUACUUGUUUGUCCCGUGCCCAUAUUUGUAACACAUAUUGCUUGCAGGUUAACACAUUUGCAGGAUUUAUUUGUGUCAUAUUUG